AGUGAACGCUGGCGGUAGGCCUAACACAUGCAAGUCGAACGGCAGCACAGUAAGAGCUUGCUCUUACGGGUGGCGAGUGGCGGACGGGUGAGGAAUACAUCGGAAUCUACUUUUUCGUGGGGGAUAACGUAGGGAAACUUACGCUAAUACCGCAUACGACCUACGGGUGAAAGCAGGGGAUCUUCGGACCUUGCGCGAUUGAAUGAGCCGAUGUCGGAUUAGCUAGUUGGCGGGGUAAAGGCCCACCAAGGCGACGAUCCGUAGCUGGUCUGAGAGGAUGAUCAGCCACCCUGGAACUGAGACACGGUCCAGACUCCUACGGGAGGCCGCAGUGGGGAAUAUUGGGCAAUGGGCGCAAGCCUGAUCCAGCCAUACCGCGUGGGUGAAGAAGGCCUUCGGGUUGUAAAGCCCUUUUGUUGGGAAAGAAAAGCAGCAGGUUAAUACCCCGCUGUUCUGACGGUACCCAAAGAAUAAGCACCGGCUAACUUCGUG
rnacentral:rRNA from 1 species